rnacentral:rRNA from 1 species
GCAUAUCAAUAAGCGGAGGAAAAGAAACUAACAAGGAUUCCCCUAGUAACUGCGAGUGAAGCGGGAAAAGCUCAAAUUUAAAAUCUGGCAGUCUUGGCUGUCCGAGUUGUAUUCUAGAGAAGUGCUUUCUGUGCUGGACCGUGUACAAGUCUCUUGGAACAGAGCGUCAUAGAGGGUGAGAAUCCCGUCUUUGACACGGACUACCAGUGCUAUGUGAUGCGCUCUCAAAGAGUCGAGUUGUUUGGGAAUGCAGCUCAAAAUGGGUGGUAAAUUCCAUCUAAAGCUAAAUAUUGGCGAGAGACCGAUAGCGAACAAGUACCGUGAGGGAAAGAUGAAAAGCACUUUGGAAAGAGAGUUAAACAGUACGUGAAAUUGCUGAAAGGGAAACACUUGAAGUCAGUCGCGUUGGCCAGAACUCAGCCUUGCUUUUGCUUGGUGCACUUUCUGAUUAACGGGCCAGCAUCAGUUUUGACUACAGGAAAAAGAUUAGAGGAAUGUGGCACCUUCGGGUGUGUUAUAGCCUUUAGUUGCAUACUGUGGUUGGGACUGAGGAUCUCAGCACGCGCAAGUUGUGCUUAGGAUGCUGGCGUAAUGGCUUUAAAUGACCCGUCUUGAAACACGGACCAAGGAGUCUAACAUGCCUGCGAGUAUUUGGGUGGAAAACUCGAAUGCGUAAUGAAAGUGAAAGUUGGGAUCUCUGUCGUGGGGAGCACCGACGCCCGGACCAGACCUUCUGUGACGGCUCCGAGGUAGAGCAUGUAUGUUGGGACCCGAAAGAUGGUGAACUAUGCCUGAAUAGGGUGAAGCCAGAGGAAACUCUGGUGGAGGCUCGUAGCGAUUCUGACGUGCAAAUCGAUCGUCAAAUUUGGGUAUAGGGGGCGAAAGACUAAUCGAACCCAUCUAGUAGCUGGGUUCCUGCGA